rnacentral:misc_RNA from 1 species
AAGUCGUAACAAGGUUUCCGUAGGUGAACCUGCGGAAGGAUCAUUAACACGUAUCCACGUAUCCACCUUUGGUCAUUUGUUUUUUCGCCCUGCGCGUCACAUGAAUUGGUAUCGGUAGAGGGGAUUGAAUGGGACCCUUAAAAAAGGUCGAAGCUCUACCCACCGGAGGUAAAACUCCAACAAUUGUAGUGACGAGUGCAGGUUUUCUCUAUUACCAUACAUCUCCAUUCAAGAUGGAGGUAAUAGGGGUUUUCUAUACACAAUUUUCACCUCUUUUUGCUAGUUGGCUUUUUUUAUGUUGUUUCCUUUACAAUUGAUUUUGUAAUUGGAUGCACACGUUUAAUUAUUUGAACGUUAAAAAUACAACUCUUAGCAAUGGAUAUCUUGGUUCUC